AUGGAUUGAUCACUAUCCUCUGUGAUGAUUCUUUGAUUAGGAGUAUUUAAAAAUUAACCACUAAUUAAUGUAUAUCUCAAAUUCUUAAUACUUUAAGAAUAUACAAAAAUCAUCUUUAUUAAUUUUUAAGAUAAAUCAUGGACACAUAAAUAUAAUUGGAAUGAAAAAGUCUUUUAUUGAUAAUAAAAGAAUUACAAGUACAAGUUUAAGCCAUGAAAUUACAUAAUGUAUCAGUCAAUAAUUGACUUUUAAGGCACAAAUCCAACAUAACCUCCUC
rnacentral:lncRNA from 1 species